rnacentral:rRNA from 1 species
UUUUAUGGAGAGUUUGAUCCUGGCUCAGGAUGAACGCUGGCGGCGUGCCUAAUACAUGCAAGUCGAGCGAACGGACGAGAAGCUUGCUUCUCUGAUGUUAGCGGCGGACGGGUGAGUAACACGUGGAUAACCUACCUAUAAGACUGGGAUAACUUCGGGAAACCGGAGCUAAUACCGGAUAAUAUUUUGAACCGCAUGGUUCAAAAGUGAAAGACGGUCUUGCUGUCACUUAUAGAUGGAUCCGCGCUGCAUUAGCUAGUUGGUAAGGUAACGGCUUACCAAGGCAACGAUGCAUAGCCGACCUGAGAGGGUGAUCGGCCACACUGGAACUGAGACACGGUCCAGACUCCUACGGGAGGCAGCAGUAGGGAAUCUUCCGCAAUGGGCGAAAGCCUGACGGAGCAACGCCGCGUGAGUGAUGAAGGUCUUCGGAUCGUAAAACUCUGUUAUUAGGGAAGAACAUAUGUGUAAGUAACUGUGCACAUCUUGACGGUACCUAAUCAGAAAGCCACGGCUAACUACGUGCCAGCAGCCGCGGUAAUACGUAGGUGGCAAGCGUUAUCCGGAAUUAUUGGGCGUAAAGCGCGCGUAGGCGGUUUUUUAAGUCUGAUGUGAAAGCCCACGGCUCAACCGUGGAGGGUCAUUGGAAACUGGAAAACUUGAGUGCAGAAGAGGAAAGUGGAAUUCCAUGUGUAGCGGUGAAAUGCGCAGAGAUAUGGAGGAACACCAGUGGCGAAGGCGACUUUCUGGUCUGUAACUGACGCUGAUGUGCGAAAGCGUGGGGAUCAAACAGGAUUAGAUACCCUGGUAGUCCACGCCGUAAACGAUGAGUGCUAAGUGUUAGGGGGUUUCCGCCCUUAGUGCUGCAGCUAACGCAUUAAGCACUCCGCCUGGGGAGUACGACCGCAAGGUUGAAACUCAAAGGAAUUGACGGGGACCCGCACAAGCGGUGGAGCAUGUGGUUUAAUUCGAAGCAACGCGAAGACCUUACCAAAUCUUGACAUCCUUUGACAACUCUAGAGAUAGAGCCUUCCCCUUCGGGGGACAAAGUGACAGGUGGUGCAUGGUUGUCGUCAGCUCGUGUCGUGAGAUGUUGGGUUAAGUCCCGCAACGAGCGCAACCCUUAAGCUUAGUUGCCAUCAUUAAGUUGGGCACUCUAAGUUGACUGCCGGUGACAAACCGGAGGAAGGUGGGGAUGACGUCAAAUCAUCAUGCCCCUUAUGAUUUGGGCUACACACGUGCUACAAUGGACAAUACAAAGGGCAGCGAAACCGCGAGGUCAAGCAAAUCCCAUAAAGUUGUUCUCAGUUCGGAUUGUAGUCUGCAACUCGACUACAUGAAGCUGGAAUCGCUAGUAAUCGUAGAUCAGCAUGCUACGGUGAAUACGUUCCCGGGUCUUGUACACACCGCCCGUCACACCACGAGAGUUUGUAACACCCGAAGCCGGUGGAGUAACCUUUUAGGAGCUAGCCGUCGAAGGUGGGACAAAUGAUUGGGGUGAAGUCGUAACAAGGUAGCCGUAUCGGAAGGUGCGGCUGGAUCACCUCCUUUCUAAGGAUAUAUUCGGAACAUCUUCUUCAGAAGAUGCGGAAUAACGUGACAUAUUGUAUUCAGUUUUGAAUGUUUAUUUAACAUUCAAAUAUUUUUUGGUUAAAGCGAUAUUGCUUUUGAAAAUAAAGCAGUAUGCGAGCGCUUGACUAAAAAGAAAAUUGUACAUUGAAAACUAGAUAAGUAAGUAAAAUAUAGAUUUUACCAAGCAAAACCGAGUGAAUAAAGAGUUUUAAAUAAGCUUGAAUUCAUAAGAAAUAAUCGCUAGUGUUCGAAAGAACACUCACAAGAUUAAUAACGCGUUUAAAUCUUUUUAUAAAAGAACGUAACUUCAUGUUAACGUUUGACUUAUAAAAUGGUGGAAACAUAGAUUAAGUUNGCUAGCCGUCGAAGGUGGGACAAAUGAUUGGGGUGAAGUCGUAACAAGGUAGCCGUAUCGGAAGGUGCGGCUGGAUCACCUCCUUUCU